rnacentral:misc_RNA from 1 species
GUCAAAUGAAAUGCCACAAAUCUCUCCAAGACAGGAACAAGAACAGCCAGGCUGUGAUUUGGAAGGCAAUCAGCUAUAGAAUCACGAAUGCUCUUACUUUCUGUUGAAAGGAAUGCAAGUAGGAGUGCUGCAUAAGCUUCUACAAUCAUCUUCUCGGCUUCUUUCUCUCCCUGUAGCACAGCUGCCUCAUCAUUCCAACCCACUGUAUUUCCUUCUCCAGAUGCAUCUCCUGCUCCUUGGUUCGCUAGAAAGAUUGAACACAGUAGUGGAAUUACAUCCCUGUGACUUUCCUCAUCUAAUCCUUCUGAGCUAGGUAAUGAAACAGUUGU